rnacentral:lncRNA from 1 species
CGCACCCAAUCUUCUUCUCAACCUAAGAAAAUAAACACAAAACCAAGUAUAGAUUCAAAAAUAAAUUCUCAAAAACCAACAAAAUUAGAACGAAAGUAUCUAAAUCUUGAGUAUAAAACUCACUCAUCAAAUACCCUUAAACUUAACUUUUUGCUAGUCCUCGAGUAAAAGAUUGAAAAGAAAUACUUAAAAGCAAACUUUUUCACCAUGUUCAUCUUUUAAGCUUAAUAAUAUUGAAAUUCUAUUCAUUUCUUGCAGUUGUUAGUCAGUUGAAAAUUCAAAAGCAAUGUUGUCAAAUAUAAAUAAACUAUUAGCUCUUAUACCCUUCAACAAAAUUUGCAUAAUUCUAACACAUAAGUUCCAUCUUUAAGUCUCUACUCUUGAUUCAUAAAUUAUAUUUUGUUUAAUAUUACCUCUUUGCUACUUCAACCAAGGUAGUAAACUUAACACGAUUUACUUUUUCUUUUCAAUUUCUUUUCUGGUGAGUGCAUUUUAUACUCCAUCUCACAUUUUUACCUAAAAAUAUUUUUAUGACUGAGUGCGUUUUACGCUCCAUCUCACCCUUCACAUGUUAGCUACUUUGUUUUAUUCAUUUAAACCUUAGUUUAUGAUUAGCUAAAAGGUAAAAAUCAAACUCACAUUUUCUAUAUCACAAGUGUAAUGCCUUAGAUUAGGUUCUUAUGCAAUUGUCCUUAUACUGAUUAGUUAGAGGAAAUAAUCACUAAUUAUUCUACUUAUUAUUCGUAACAUAUUCUUUUUUUUAAAGUAAUCAUAAUUAGUCAUGAUAAAAUCUCAAUUCCAUCAUGCUUCACUAACUACUAAUGAUGAAAUGUUUAGUCUUUUAUUGUAAAAAAGGGGGAAAAAGGGAAAAAUAGUAAUUUAAAAUAUAAAGACCCAAUACCCCAAAACAUUAGAGUUUGAAUUAUCCUCAAUGUAAAGAAAAAGUUUUUUUUAUGAGAAGAGGACAUACCUCAGCAAGGACUAAGCAUCCUCGCCAUCAUUCUCUUCAUUUUCUUCAUCAGUAUCAUCCUGUAAUAUUGGCAAAAUAAAUUGGCGCAGGCGGAAGAGGAUAAAUAGUACCACCAAUAUUCAAGAUACAUUGAUUCAUCAUCUGUGCUAAGGCUUUAUUGCACUCUACAUUAUAAGCAUGCAUUUGCCUAAGCUCCUGUCGAGUCUCUUGUCAUUGUUCACUCUAUCUUAGAUUAGUAUAAGCAACGCUACCAGUUAAGGGACGACGAUGAGUUAAGACCUGCCCUCGUUGUUGAAAAGAGCUAGCCCUAACAUGUGUAGAUUGUUGUGGCUGCUUAUACUGCUUCAUUGUUAGGGAUGCAAUUACUUUCAUUGGAUGCACCAAUGCUUUCUAUGGUUCCCAUUUGAAAUUAGUUAGGUUACAAAGGCUAGUGAUUAACCCAGGAAUAAAAAUCCCUCCAAAUUUUGAGGAUCCACAUUCCAAUAUGGAAUGCGAUAUGACUUGCCCCACAUCUAUGGACAUGUCUUUUGCAAGUGCAUAUAACAAGAUAGCUCGUUCCUUGGUCACUUCACUCGUGAGAAAUAUACAUCAUUCUUGCAGUAACAAAGUAAUACCAUGCUUUAUUGGAUCAGGUCAAAACACUUGCGUUACAAUGAUUCGGUUCACCACUUGUCAUUGUCUUCCAUUUUGUUCCCAGCACACAUAGUGUGUUAAUUACGUCAUUCAAGUUGACAUGGUCCUGUGCAUAAACUGAGGACUCAUCCAUCUCUACAUCUAGGGUAGAGUAGUAUUUGUUAAUCACUUUUGGAGCAAAAGAUACCCCUUUUUUUCAAAUAAAUACCACUCGUUUUUUAUGAGUGAUUGCAUUAUAGUAGAAUUCUUUAACAACUGGACAACACCAGCUUGAAGGAAGCACAAAAUUUAAACCACCCUUGCCUUUCAAUAUUCGACUACAAGGGACGACUGUAAUCUUCUAAAAUGAACCCUCUCUUUUGAAUCACUUGCUUAUUAAUCAAUACUCUUAUAUGAUGAUCGUACACAGCUGCAGUUUUAAAGAUGUCGGGGUCAAACUCUAAAGAUUCUGGUGCUGGCCUUUUCUGCUUCUUAGAGGAACUUGGUGUUGAACAUUUUAGGGCCAUGGAUGAGGGUAAUCAAUGACAAGUACAAUAGAAACACACAGUUUCUCAACCAUCAAAGUAUGAAUAAACACCAAACUUUACAUUCCAAUCAACUUCUCCCAAAUCCAAACCAAAAAUUAACACUAGUCUACGACCAAUUCUCUUAAGCAAUUUUACAAACACUUGGUGCUCACUUCAAGUUCCCGGUAAAAUAAAAAAUAUUUUCUAAAAUUUCUCAAAAGUCAUUAAAUUCCAAAAACUCAACCCAAAACUCAAACCUCAAUGUUUAGAGACUUACUUAUUGAGAAGAGAUUCCAAAUCCGAUGUUAUGGUGAAGAAAUCCAUGUGAAAACCUCCAAAACAUCUUCUUAGAGUUGCCUAAUGUAAACACCAAUGCCGAUCAUAUUCUGGCAAGAAUCUGGCCACAAUUUUCCUUUAGUGAUGGUGAAUUAAUUUAUGGAGAGUGAUGUUUGGGUAUUUGAUGGAAAAAGAAGAUGACUAAGAGGUGGUGGAACCUUAGAUGUGAAGAGAGGAAGAGAAAAGGGUAAAUAGAACAUAUGGGUGUUUUAGGAUCCCCAAAUUCGAAUGAACCUGUAUUUUUUUAGUCUUUAAAUCCAGACCUUGUCAUCGCGAUGCUAGUUUUCUUUUGCUACUUGCUAAGCUAGCUCCUAAAGUGCUUAUUUU